CACACUUAUGUAUUUUCCAGAGUUGUGGUGUUGCUUUAAUUGACAUGAUGAGGAACAAUCAAGCAUACGUCAUUGGUAUUGGUGUAGCUCUUCUAGUGAUUGAGGUAAGGUCAUCUACAUUGAAUUUGUAUCACUAUUAAGUAAAUGUAUAUUAAAAUUCUUCUGACGUAAUUUCAAAAAUAUACCCUAAUUAUAAUGAAACUUGUUGACAAUGUGAGGAUUUUUCUUAUUGCGAAUUUUCUAUUUCCAAGAGAUUACUAGUACAAACGUGCCAGUGCUAAAUGUCUUAGGAAGUGGAAGUUGAUAUACUAUUCAAGUUAUUAUGUCCACAGCAGCGAAGUGUAAGAUGGGAUAUCAUAAUGAGUUUCAUGAGAAGUACUUUAUAAUCUUUCCGCAAAUAAGUUAUAAGUAUAGUUAUGACUACAAAGGUUAGCGUUUUGGUCAAUCGUUACUAAAUCGGUAUUACAAUUUGUAAUACAUGCAAUCAUUGCAUGUUUUGAAAACCUUACUAACAUAAAUACAUAUUAUUAUGCAUUUAUGUUAAUAUUUACAUUACAAAUAUUUCCCCUAGUAAACGAUCAUAGAUAACUCAAAAGUCAAAUCUUGUUCAAUCCCCCAUAACAAAUUCAAUACAAAGUAGUUCACAUAUUAUGACACUUCUCAGACUCUGGAUGACGCAAAUAAGCUUCAUGAUGGCACUACAUUAUAUUUAUGAUCACGCCACGUUACGUUCAAACUGAGAAAUAAUGUUAAUUGUACUUGUCUAGUGAUGAUACACCAAAAUGGAAUAUAAGUUAUCGCGCACUUUCUUUUAAAACAAUUCCUAGAAAAAGUUAAAAGUGAAAAUUGAAAUAAAAAGCCUGCAGCAUAUAAGAAAUUGUAUCAUUCAUUAUAUAUUUUAAUUAAGAAUCUCUAAUUUAUAAUUGGCUAUUUAUAUUAUAAAAAAUAUACAAAAAAAAACCGAGUUACGUAAUUUCUUUGUAGCUUGCCUAUCACGUGAAUGUAGCAUAGCACCUUAGAUACAAUUUGCAUCAUAUUAAACUUCCCGAUUCCGACCGGCCGUGUCUAGGUAUUUAUACAUCCAUUCAGCCAAACAUAUAUUUAUUUAUUUAGGAACCAUUCUUCUUUAACAAAACAAUUUCUUUUGGGAGCCCGUUUUAUGUCAUUGUUUUAGUCGGUAUUGCACACAUACAGUCUAAUAAAAUGUUUCAAACUUUAUUGAGCAACAAAUAUUCUCAUAUAUAAACCUAAAACAGACCUAUAAAUAUAUGAUACUAUUUUUUUAUAUAUUUUCAGCUUUUGUGUAUAGCUUUUUCUUUGUGGAUUUGUAGCCAGAUCAACAAGAAAAAUAGAGUUUCUUCGAUUUAAAUAAUCGAAUGAAAGACAAAGUAGAGGCAGUAGAAAGAUUGAAUUUGCCUUUGGUUGGACAAUUGUUUUAGUGAUUUGAGAAAGAAUUCGUAUAUUCGUAUCUUGAUUUGAAUUUAAACUUUUUGUGACUGUUGCAUCUUACCGUUGCGAUUAUCUUCCAGAAGUAGUUUUUUAUUCGGUUUUGAAUAUUUUUUAUCAAUCCGUCCUAUCUAAGAUUUUUUUAUUUAUUUCAUUUACAAAAAUGUCUGUUAUUCAGAAAUCCGUCCAAUUUAAGAAUGUAUAAUACAAAUGUGGUGUUGAUUUAUUCUCUUUUUAUAUGCAAGAUUGGUAUUUCUGAUUCAGUGAUUGAAAUCACCAAGCUAACACCCAUGUUAUGUUUUUUUCUUCAUCAUAUUGUAGCAUAAUAGUAGUUUUGUUAACAAUUUUAUUGGUCUUAUUAAAAGCGUUUUUCAUUAGAAAUGUUAUUGACAAUAUUUUUUUUUAUCUUAUUCAUAGAUGAAUGUUAUGUUAAAAAAUGAUUGUUUACCAACUUUAUAACCAUUAUAACAUGAAAUGAAACAACUCUCAACAAGAUACCAAAUGAUGUAAAGGUUGACAAAUAAAAGCCACGGCACUGCCUUCGACAAUGAGCAAAACUGAUACAUAGUAAGAUACAAAAGGGCCGAAAUUAUCAAUGUAACUGUAAUUCGAACGAUUUUUUUUAUGUAUUUUUGCUGAGCAUGUACUGAUUUUCUGUCGUGGAUGUAUACCCUAUAUCCUUUGUUUUUCUGAUAUGUAUUGUAUUGUUUUAUUCAUUCCGAACCGAAAUAAAGUUUAAUAAAGUUUUUUAUUUCAUCUAUUAUCUUAUUUAUUAUUGAUAUUCCAAAAUGAAAAUAGCGUCAGGUCAUUGGU
rnacentral:lncRNA from 1 species